rnacentral:rRNA from 1 species
GGCAUGAUGGCCUGUACCCGAAACCGACACAGGUGGGGUGGUAGAGAAUACCGAGGGGCGCGAGGUAACUCUCUCUAAGGAACUCGGCAAAAUGGCCCCGUAACUUCGGGAGAAGGGGUGCCACCGCGAGGUGGUCGCAGUGAAGAGGCCCAGGCGACUGUUUACCAAAAACACAGGUCUCCGCUAAGUCGCAAGACGAUGUAUGGGGGCUGACGCCUGCCCAGUGCCGGAAGGUUAAGGAAGCUGGUCAGCGCAAGCGAAGCUGGCGACUGAAGCCCCGGUGAACGGCGGCCGUAACGAUAACGGUCCUAAGGUAGCGAAAUUCCUUGUCGGGUAAGUUCCGACCCGCACGAAAGGCGUAACGAUCUGGGCGCUGUCUCGGAGAGAGGCUCGGCGAAAUAGAAUUGUCUGUGAAGAUGCGGACUACGUGCACCCGGACAGAAAGACCCUAUGAAGCUUUACUGUAGCUUGGUAUUGUGCUCGGGCCCGGAAUGCGCAGGAUAGGUGGGAGGCUUUGAUCCAUUGCUUGCGGGUGAUGGUGAGCCACUGGUGAGAUACCACUCUUUCCGAGCUAGAGUUCUAACAGCAACCCGUUAUCCGGGUGCUGGACAGUAUCAGGUGGGCAGUUUGACUGGGGCGGUCGCCUCCUAAAAGGUAACGGAGGCGCGCAAAGGUCUGCUCAGGCUGGUUGGAAAUCAGCCGACGAGUGUAAAAGCAGAAGCAGGCUUGACUGUGAGACCUACAAGUCGAACAGGGAGGAAACUCGGCUUUAGUGAUCCGACGGUUCUGCGUGGAAGGGCCGUCGCUCAACGGAUAAAAGUUACUCUAGGAUAACAGGCUGAUCUCCCCCAAGAGUUCACAUCGACGGGGAGGUUUGGCACCUCGAUGUCGGCUCAUCGCAACCUGGGGCUGAAGUCGGUCCCAAGGGUUGGGCUGUUCGCCCAUUAAAGCGGUACGCGAGCUGGGUUCAGAACGUCGUGAGACAGUUCGGUCCAUAUCCGGUGCACGCGCAGGAAUAUUGAGAGGAUUUCUCCCUAGUACGAGAGGACCGGGAGGAACGCACCUCUGGUGUGCCAGUUAUCGUGCCAACGGUAAACGCUGGGUAGCCAUGUGCGGAGUGGAUAACCGCUGAAAGCAUCUAAGUGGGAAGCCCACCUCAAGAUGAGUAUUCCCAUGGCAUAAGCCGGUAAGGUCACGGGAAGAACACCCGUUGAUAGGCUCUACGUGGAAGCGCAGUAAUGUGUGAAGCGGAGGAGUACUAAUAGACCGAGGGCUUGACC